rnacentral:rRNA from 1 species
UACGGGGGGGGCAAGCGUUGUUCGGAAUUACUGGGCGUAAAGGGCGCGUAGGCGGUUGGAUAAGUCAGCUGUGAAAACCACGAGCUUAACUCGUGGCCUGCAGUUGAGACUGUCUGGCUUGAGUGUGGGAGAGGAGAGUGGAAUUCCGGGUGUAGCGGUGAAAUGCGUAGAUAUCAGGAGGAACACCGGUGGCGAAGGCGGCUCUCUGGACCACAACUGACGCUGAGGCGCGAAAGCUAGGGGAGCAAACAGG